ensembl:processed_transcript Mir100hg Mir100 Mirlet7a-2 Mir125b-1 cluster host gene
UGUUUGCUCCUUCUCUGUCUCGAGCAUGGUUUUCUAUCCUGCCGGGGAGGGCGAGAGCGCUGGGCAGAGGUGGCACCUGACCCGCUAGAACUCCGAUGUCACUGCUGUGGCUGUUACUCCCCUCGGCAAGAGUCAAGGCGCACGCAGGACGUGAAUCCUGCAAUGGACUGACCUCAUCUUUCCGAGGCUGUGAUGUUUCAGGAGAGUUUCACUAUUGCUGAACAACUGAGGCCACCAGGAGCACCUAAGUGCAAAGAGAGACAGGAAUCCUUUCUGCAACCAGAGGCUAUUACGAGUAUGGCUACAUUUUUCCUUCUGGAUACCACCAGAUCAUUCCAGCCACCUGCCUUUGUGGUGUCUCCAGACAAGGGCUGACAACCAUCGAAGCAUCGAAGCCCUAAGGCUACAUGGAGAGAAGAAGAAUGUCCCUGGAGAAGGAUAUGAAUCAGAGAGAAAGAAGUGAAAUCUUGUCCUAGGAAGAAAGGGAGCGAUUGGCAGAAGACUUGUCUCUGGUAAGGCAAUUUACACACUUGUCUUUUAAGGGGUGAGUCACCAUCUAUGAUACAUUUCCCAGCAAUGUCUAAGAGUUUCCUAAUCUGGAGUUCACACUCCAGCCAGAUAAGAGAGAGGAGAAAGGGUCUUAUAAUCCACCUAGUUACCACUCAGAGCC